rnacentral:rRNA from 1 species
GACAGAGGGUGCAAACGUUGUUCGGAAUUACUGGGCGUAAAGCGCGUGUAGGCGGCUGUGCAAGUCGGAUGUGAAAUCCCGUGGCUCAACCACGGAAGUGCACCCGAAACUGCGCAGCUGGAGUCUCGGAGAGGAAGGUGGAAUGCUUGGUGUAGAGGUGAAAUUCGUAGAUAUCGGGAGGAACACCAGUGGCGAAGGCGUCUACCUGGCCUAAUACUGACACUGAGACACGAAAGCGUGGGGAGCAAACAGG